UACGUAGGGUGCAAGCGUUGUCCGGAAUUAUUGGGCGUAAAGAGCUCGUAGGCGGUCUGUCGCGUCGGCUGUGAAAUCCCGAGGCUCAACCUCGGGUCUGCAGUCGAUACGGGCAAACUGGAGUGUUGCAGGGGAGACUGGAAUUCCUGGUGUAGCGGUGAAAUGCGCAGAUAUCAGGAGGAACACCUGCGGCGAAGGCGGGUUGCUGGGCUGACACUGACGCUGAUGCGCGAAAGCUAGGGGAGCGAACGGG
rnacentral:rRNA from 1 species